AUUGAGUUUGCUAUGUUUGGGGGUUCUCAAUUAAAAUUGAUUUCGCCUAUAGAAUUGAUUAACUUGAAGCUAUUUGUAGAUUUUGCCUUUAAACUUGAUUUUUUCACUCAAAUUCACUAUUUAGUAUUUACCUUCAACUUGCUCACUUACACAUGAAUGUAUCUAAACAUAAAUAAUUUUACCUUAAACUUGGUUUUAACUAAAAUCAAUUUUGGCCACUGUAGAACCGAACACACCACAUUCAUUCAGAAUCAUGUUUGUCAAACUAAGAUAUGUGCUUGUGGUUGUCUUUCCUCAAUUUUCUCUUUUUUUCUUGAUAGGUACGAAAUGUCAUGAUAGAAAAUAUUGACAAGGUUCUGGAUAGAGGUGAUAGAUUGGAAUUGCUGGUGGAUAAAACUACUGAUAUGCAAGGAAACACAUUUCGCUUCAGGAAACAGACUCGUCGUUUUAGAAGCGCUGUGUGGUGGAGGAAUGUUAAACUCACGGUCGCUCUUAUAGUCAUCCUACUUGUGAUAGCAUAUGUUGUGUUGGCUUUUGUUUGCCAUGGGCCUGCACUACCGUCUUGCUUCUAGUGAAGGGUUGAAAAGUGAAUUUAUGUGUGAUUUUAUACCGUCUCCAGUUUGCAAAGGUCGCUUCUAUUGUGGCGCAGACUCCCGUUUGUUUCAAUUGCUGGGCUGUCAACGUGUGUGCAGAUUUCUGGUGUUUUGGGUUGUAGUUAUUACAAGGUUUGAGGGAAAAAUAUUGUGCAUCAUGUCUUUUAUGUAUUAUCUUACAUACCACCCCAAAAAAUGGAUUGAACCGGAACAUGAUCGGGAUUUUGAGUUAUUUAAAGUGUUACUAUUAUAUCUUGGUAUAGUCAUUAAUGUUCUUCCCUUCUCUUUUUGUUUAAGAGAAGUAAGGGUAAAGUUUUGAAUUUCAUGGGUCCCUUCGUAGCUCAAUGAAGGGAGAUUGUUUAGCUUCGCUUGCCCCAUUGUUAUAUAUUUAUAUUUGCAAAGGUUCCUUUUUGUUUUGGUUUUCUGCAAUGAAAUAGUAUUAUCAUAUGA